rnacentral:rRNA from 1 species
UACGAAGGGGGCUAGCGUUGCUCGGAAUCACUGGGCGUAAAGGGCGCGUAGGCGGCCAUUCAAGUCAGGGGUGAAAGCCUGUGGCUCAACCACAGAAUUGCCUUUGAUACUGUUUGGCUAGAGCCCGGAAGAGGUAAGUGGAACUGCGAGUGUAGAGGUGAAAUUCGUAGAUAUUCGCAAGAACACCAGUGGCGAAGGCGGCUUACUGGUCCGGUUCUGACGCUGAGGCGCGAAAGCGUGGGGAGCAAACAGG